rnacentral:rRNA from 2 species
UGGAGAGUUUGAUCCUGGCUCAGAACGAACGCUGGCGGCAUGCCUAACACAUGCAAGUCGAACGAGACCUUCGGGUCUAGUGGCGCACGGGUGCGUAACGCGUGGGAACCUGCCUUUAGGUUCGGAAUAACAGUGAGAAAUUACUGCUAAUACCGGAUAAUGUCUUCGGACCAAAGAUUUAUCGCCUUUAGAUGGGCCCGCGUUGGAUUAGCUAGUUGGUGGGGUAAAGGCCUACCAAGGCGACGAUCCAUAGCUGGUCUGAGAGGAUGAUCAGCCACACUGGGACUGAGACACGGCCCAGACUCCUACGGGAGGCAGCAGUGGGGAAUAUUGGACAAUGGGCGAAAGCCUGAUCCAGCAAUGCCGCGUGAGUGAUGAAGGCCUUAGGGUUGUAAAGCUCUUUUACCCGAGAUGAUAAUGACAGUAUCGGGAGAAUAAGCUCCGGCUAACUCCGUGCCAGCAGCCGCGGUA